UACGUAGGGUGCGAGCGUUAAUCGGAAUUACUGGGCGUAAAGUGUGCGCAGGUGGCCGCGCAAGUCGAGUGUGAAAUCCCCCGGCUUAACCUGGGAACUGCGUCUGAUACUGGAAGGCUUGAGUAUGGGAGAGGGAUGUAGAAUUCCCGGUGGAGCGGUGAAAUGCGUAGAGAUCGGGAAGAACGCCGGCGGCGAAAGCGACUCUCUGGUCGGAAUCUGACGCUGAGGUGCGAAAGCUAGGGGAGCAAACGGG
rnacentral:rRNA from 1 species